AUUAGAAUUAUUUAAUAUUGUUUACAAUUUAAUAUUUUUAAUUUCUUUAAAAAUAUUAUAUAUAUUAUUUAUUUACAUUUAUUUUAUUUAUAGAUGUACAUAUUUAUAUAUGUAUCGUUACAUCUUUAUAUAGUUAUAUUUUUAUAUAUUAUAUUUAUUUAUAUAUAUACACACUACAUAUAAUUUUAUAUCUAGUUAUAUUUAUAGGUGUAUAUAGUUACAUAGUUAGAUGUAUACGGAUGUUUAGGUACGUAUAUUGAUGUUUGUAUAGGUAUAGGCUGCUUUCUCACCUCUGCUGCCUUUUCCAUCCCUCACUCUUCCCGCUGUGCCGCCUCUGUCCCCGCUCCCUGUGCCGCCUCUGGGCUGGUGGCCGGGCCGGGGGAGCAGCAGCUCCAGCCCCAGGUCCCGGCCCCCCGCACCCCCAUGGGACUGGGGGGAGCUUCUGGUGGCACCAGGCACCACUCCCCAAGGAGCUGCUGGAGGAUGGUGAGGCUGAGGGGGCUGGGGGGGCCGAGGGGAUGGCGAUGCUGAAGGGACAGUGAUGCUGAGGUGAUGGUGGCACUGAGGGGACAGUGGGGCUGAGGGGGCUGGGGGAGCUGGGGGGGAUGCUGAGAGCUGAGGGGAUAAGGGAGUGGCAAAGGCUGAGGCAGUUGAUGGGGCUAAGGGGCCUGUGACAUUGAGAUGAUGAUAGGGUCUGAGGCAAGUGGAGGGGUCUGAAGGGACUGGGGGAGCUGAGGGCUCUGGGUUUGCCAAGGGCAUGGUGGGGCCGAGGGGAUAGUGGGGGACCAACGGGGAGCACAGUGGGGUCCAAGCCUGUCCAAGCUUGCUGGGCCACAGCACAUGUUCCAGACUCUCCACUUUUGCCAGGACUGCCCUGAAUUCUUUUUGAGCAGCAAGAGACUGAUGAGGGCCAAGAGAGAGAAGCUGACGACCACCAGCCACAUCUUGACCAGGGACCUGUUGCUGCUGCCUGAGACCCUUGAUGUCCAUCUGUACCUCUCCAGGAGGGCUGCUCUGCAUGGGAGGGAGAGACCGAGGAAGAGCCUGUGAAGAUGGGGCGGCUGGGAUCCCUCUGUAUAUACUUAUAUUUAGAGAUGUGUAUAGUUAUAGUUAUACCUAGGUAGUUAUAGGUAUAUAGAUAUUUACAUAUGUAGAUUGAAUAUUUGUAUAGGUAUAUUUGUAUAUUUAUCUAGUUAUAUAUGUACCUAGUUGUAUUUAU